UACGUAGGGGGCAAGCGUUGUCCGGAUUCAUUGGGCGUAAAGAGCGUGUAGGCGGCCAGGCAGGUCCGCUGUGAAAACUCGAGGCUCAACCUCGAGAUGUCGGUGGAAACCGUCUGGCUAGAGUCCGGAAGAGGAGAAUGGAAUUCCUGGUGUAGCGGUGAAAUGCGCAGAUAUCAGGAAGAACACCCGUGGCGAAGGCGGUUCUCUGGGACGGUACUGACGCUGAGACGCGAAAGCGUGGGGAGCAAACGGG
rnacentral:rRNA from 1 species